CACACUUGCAAACAAACUAGAAGCAAUCACCCAUAAUCACAAGGUUGACUGCCUGGGUGCAGGAGGGACCCCGGACAACUGGGCAGCGAUGGAUGCAGGGGACCAAAUGACAAAGUAAAUGUAAGGACUCAAAACACUGGGUUAAAAAUUAUCUCCCCCACCACCAACUUCUGGAUGCUGUGAUGCAUACCUAGACACCACCAAAGAUGCUC
rnacentral:lncRNA from 1 species